UAAUUUUGUCUUCGGAUCGGUUUCGUAUGAUCAAAUCAGAUGAUACGGAUUAAAAGGGAAUCGGGUGAAAAUCCCGGACAGUCCCGCUGCUGUGAAGCUCCGUUUCAACAUCCUGAAAACUACUUUUGCCACUGGCUUAUGGUUAUAAACCGGGAAGGCUUCGGGAUGGGAGUCAGUCAGAAGACCUGCCGUUCAUUAAAGGCUAUUC
rnacentral:ncRNA from 19 species